rnacentral:tRNA from 1 species
GCCCAGGUGGUGAAAUUGGUAGACACGCUAGCUUCAGGUGCUAGUGAUCGCAAGGUCGUGGAGGUUCAAGUCCUCUCCUGGGCA